rnacentral:lncRNA from 1 species
AAUGUGCACAUGGGAGACAGUGUAUUAAUGGAGAAAAGAUCAUAUAUUGACUCUAUCUGGAAGACUACCAUUGGGUUUUAGGAGGGAAUACUGCCAUGAAUUCAUGGAAUAUUGGUGUCCCGUAGGUUUGAGAAAGUCUGAUUCCUGGGAGCACCGUGGGCAACUCAGUGCCUCCUCCUGGGCUCUGAUGUUCUCACCUGUAUCAGUGCAGUGGGAUAAAGACUCAGGUUCUCCAACCCCCAGCACAGUGCCUGUGGUCCAGGUGCCAGGUGUCUGACCUGAGAGGAUGCUCCUCCAUCAUCCUUCCUGGUUCCUUUCAGUUGAGUCCAGUUUGCUCACUUCCCAGACUGCUGAGCUGACAGCCUUUUCUCGAGUAGAAUCACUCUCACCAGGUAAGGAUGGUAAGGGGUCCAGGCUCGGGACAGGUGGCAUCCUGGAGGAGGCCUGUGGAGGAAGCAUGCCCCUUACCUUCCUACCUACUGCACCCACUGCUGCUGCCUCCUUUGGCCAGACUCUUCAUCCUUUUUCCACUCAUCUUUCAAGAGGCAACUCAACUACAAGUUUCCCAGGAAAUUCUUCCUUGUUGUCCUGUCAGAAGCAACUAUUCCUUUUCUGGAACCUUCAAAUUCUGUGUUCCUCUGGGAUGUUGGUGGGAUUCUCCCAUAAACAGUGGACAACUCCAAACUAUUAGCUGUGCCCUGGUUCCCAAUUUUGUUCGGUCUCUGUGUAUUUUCCUGUAACAAAAGUUCUUAUUAUGGAUCUUAGGUCAACUGCUAAAGUAGGGUUUAAUAAGCCUAGAAUGUGUAAAACACAGAAGAUUGAAGGGUUGGGUACUAUAGUGCUGAGCGUGGAAUCAGCUGUGUUGCAAGUAGGGCUGACAGAGGAGUGUGACACAGUUGUUCCAGCGCCACCAAUGAAGGGAGUGGAAGGAACUACUCGUUUCCAAAACUCUGAGUCCUCCAGGGAGGUAUCAAGGGCAGGACCCAUCGCCUCCUGAGAAACAAGGCGUCCUCAAGUCCCCUUACCCAUGGGCUGGGAGGCAGAAGCAUCCUGGGGUCAUCCCACUGCUUGCCACCCCUCUCCCCUCACCCAGCUCUUCCACCCUAUGUCAGCUGCUUCCCUCCACAUUAACACUACCCACACAGUGCUGCAACUCAGAAAACUAAGUGGCAUCUUGUCCCAUCUCUCCAAUCCCAGUCUGCCAUCAAGUCUUCUGAAUUUUAGGUUCAUCAUUCAAAUUGAUCCUACUCUUUC